rnacentral:lncRNA from 1 species
ACAACUCCAGGGCUUUAACGAACUACUACAGUAGCUCUUAGAGGGCCUCGAGAGACAGGUUACACAGUCAGAUCAGAUGGCAGCUCAACUCUAGCGGAUAGCUGAUUCUGGUAGGGAUGAUGGAGUGCAACGAUUCUUUGAUGACCUAGGUGAUAUUAAGCUGGACCUCAGUGAUUGUUUCCUAGAUGCGAUACAAUCACAGCGCUUGCCAAGGAUGUGUCGGUGCCUCCACCAGCCUCACCUUCCAUUCAAGACCCCCCUACCGCCUAUUAGCAUAGCCCCCGCUAAGG